GACGAACGCUGGCGGCGUGCCUAACACAUGCAAGUCAACUUGACUGAAGGAGCAAUCUGACAGUAGAGUGGCGCAAGGGUGCGUAACGCGUAAGUAACUUGCCCCAAGGUAAGGAAUAACGUCGAGAAAUCGGCGCUAAUACCUCAUAAUGCAGCGGAUCCGCAUGGAUAUGUUGUUAAAGGUUUACCGCCUUGGGAUAGGCUUGCGUCUGAUUAGCUAGUUGGUGUGGUAACGGCACACCAAGGCUACGAUCAGUAACUGGUCUGAGAGGAUGAUCAGUCACACUGGAACUGAGACACGGUCCAGACUCCUACGGGAGGCAGCAGUGAGGAAUAUUGGGCAAUGCUCGAAAGAGUGACCCAGCAACGCCGCGUGGAGGAUGAAGGUAUUCUAUAUCGUAAACUCCUGUGAGAGCAGACGAAAGACAGAUUAUUAAUCUGGAUGACUGUAUGCUCAGAGGAAAG
rnacentral:rRNA from 1 species